GGUGGGGAUCAUUCUCUUCUCCCAGGUAACAAGCAACAGGACAAGAGGAAAUGGCCUCAAGUUGUUCAGGGAAGGUUCAGGUUGGACAUCAGGAAGAAU